AACGAACGCUGGCGGCAGGCUUAACACAUGCAAGUCGAGCGCCCCGCAAGGGGCGCGGCAGACGGGUGAGUACCGCGUGGGAACGUACCUUUUGGUUCGGAACAACUCCGGGAAACUGGAGCUAAUACCGGAUAAGCCCUAACGGGGAAAGAUUUAUCGCCGAAAGAUCGGCCCGCGUCUGAUUAGCUAGUUGGUGAGGUAACGGCUCACCAAGGCGACGAUCAGUAGCUGGUCUGAGAGGAUGAUCAGCCACACUGGGACUGAGACACGGCCCAGACUCCUACGGGAAGCAGCAGUGGGGAAUAUUGGACAAUGGGCGCAAGCCUGAUCCAGCCAUGCCGCGUGAGUGAUGAAGGCCUUAGGGUUGUAAAGCUCUUUUGUCCGGGAAGAUAAUGACUGUACCGGAAGAAUAAGCCCCGGCUAACUUCGUG
rnacentral:rRNA from 1 species